AAGUCUCUUUUAUUUUGCACAGGUCAAAGGUGACAAUGUACCCAUAUAGAUGGAGAAUCUUCAACCUAAAAAAAAAGUGAAAAGACAGGACCCCAAAUUAUGUGGAGUGGAGACAGUGGAGCCUAGAUUCUAAGCAUGGCCACGCUGAGCUUUACUUUACCAGCCAGAUAGUCAAAGUAUCGGCCACUUCCCUCCAAUCUUGAAGAGUCAUAAAAAAGAGAUUAGUCUCGAGCCCUGAGGACCGUUAUGUUAAAAGUGAAGAAAUAAAAAGUGGAAGACACCACCAAGCCUGGAGAACAACAUGAAGAUACACCAGCUGAAACUAGCUUCAACUUGACCCAUCCGAGGUCACUGAAAACUGAGAAGGCAUACACCUUGCCCCUCUCUCCUCAAGCUUAUUUUUCAAAUCUUAAUCCCCCUCAAUGUGUUUUUUUCAUUUCCACUUGAUAAAACAAUUAAUCUAACUGAAAAUAUUAACCCAAAAUAAAAUUCUCCUUUCUCACCCCGAA